rnacentral:rRNA from 1 species
ACCGUACUCCUACGGGAGGCAGCAGUGGGGAAUUCUGGACAAUGGGGGCAACCCUGAUCCAGCAAUGCCGCGUGAGUGAAGAAGGCCUUCGGGUUGUAGAGCUCUUUUGUCAGGGAAGAAACGGUAGUAGCUAAUAUCUAUUACUAAUGACGGUACCUGAAGAAUAAGCACCGGCUAACUACGUGCCAGCAGCCGCGGUAGUACGUAGGGUGCAAGCGUUAAUCGGAAUUACUGGGCGUAAAGCGUGCGCAGGCGGUUGUGUAUGUCAGAUGUGAAAUCCCCGGGCUCAACCUGGGAAUUGCAUUUGAGACUGCACGGCUAGAGUGUGUCAGAGGGGGGUAGAAUUCCACGUGUAGCAGUGAAAUGCGUAGAUAUGUGGUGGAAUACCGAUGGCGAAGGCAGCCCCCUGGGAUAACACUGACGCUCAUGCACGAAAGCGUGGGGGGCAAACAGGAUUAGAAACCCGAGUAGCCCUUGAC